rnacentral:lncRNA from 1 species
AUUCUUUACCAAACUUUUCCGAGAUUUUGUCAUUCAGGAUAGAAAACUCAAAGUUUGGUUUUACUUAAGAAAGAUGAAAUAAAAACUGGUUUCUUGAGAAAAAUAAGAUACGGCGUAAACUAACAUUUAUCAUGCAUCUAGCUUUGCGUUGAAGUCCUAAUGUACAGUAUAUACAUAUAGUAGAUCUUUAAAUGAAUACGACCUUUAACUGGUAAACAAUGUAAAACAAAAAAUGAC